UAGGGAAUCUUCCGCAAUGGGCGAAAGCCUGACGGAGCAACGCCGCGUGAGUGAAGAAGGUCUUCGGAUCGUAAAACUCUGUUAUUAGGGAAGAACAAAUGUGUAAGUAACUAUGCACGUCUUGACGGUACCUAAUCAGAAAGCCACGGCUAACUACGUGCCAGCAGCCGCGGUAAUACGUAGGUGGCAAGCGUUAUCCGGAAUUAUUGGGCGUAAAGCGCGCGUAGGCGGUUUUUUAAGUCUGAUGUGAAAGCCCACGGCUCAACCGUGGAGGGUCAUUGGAAACUGGAAAACUUGAGUGCAGAAGAGGAAAGUGGAAUUCCAUGUGUAGCGGUGAAAUGCGCAGAGAUAUGGAGGAACACCAGUGGCGAAGGCGACUUUCUGGUCUGUAACUGACGCUGAUGUGCGAAAGCGUGGGGAUCAAACA
rnacentral:rRNA from 2 species